rnacentral:misc_RNA from 1 species
GCAAACUUGGUCAUUUAGAGGAAGUAAAAGUCGUAACAAGGUUUCCGUAGGUGAACCUGCGGAAGGAUCAUUAUCGAAGUCGAAGGCCUAGGAGGGGGAAAGGGGGGCUCCGACUGUCGCCGGCCUGUGGGCGCGUGCACGUCUCCCUCUGGAAUCCUCCGAAGCUUCAACUAUCUACACCCGUGUGCACCCGCUGUAGGUCCUUCGGGACCUACGUGUCCUCUCUCGAACUCGUAUGUCUACAGAAUGUGUAAUGGCGGCUCGACCGCAAACCUUUGUACAACUUUCAGCAAUGGAUCUCUUGGCUCUCGCAUCGAUGAAGAACGCAGC